AUUGAACGCUGGCGGAAUGCUUACACAUGCAAGUCGAGCGGCAGCGCGGGGCAACCUGGCGGCGAGCGGCGAACGGGUGAGUAAUGCAUCGGAACAUGUCCAUGGAUGGGGGAUAGCCCGGCGAAAGCCGGAUUAAUACCGCAUGAGCCCGAGAGGGGAAAGUGGGGGACCGCAAGGCCUCACGUCGAUGGGUUGGCCGAUGCCCGAUUAGCUAGUUGGUGAGGUAAUGGCUCACCAAGGCGAUGAUCGGUAGCUGGUCUGAGAGGAUGAUCAGCCACACUGGGACUGAGACACGGCCCAGACUCCUACGGGAGGCAGCAGUGGGGAAUUUUGGACAAUGGGGGCAACCCUGAUCCAGCCAUUCCGCGUGAGUGAAGAAGGCCUUCGGGUUGUAAGCUCUUUUGUCCGGAGCGAAACGGGGCGCGUGAAUAUCGCGCUCUACUGACGGUACCGGAAGAAUAAGCACCGGCUAACUACGUGCCAGCAGCCACCGUAA
rnacentral:rRNA from 1 species